CCUCCGGGAGGCAGCCGUGAGGAAUAUUGGUCAAUGGACGAGAGUCUGACCCAGCCAAGUAGCGUGAAGGAUGACUGCCCUACGGGUUGUACACUUCUUUUAUAAAGGAAUAAAGUGAGGCACGUGUGCCUUUUUGUAUGUACUUUAUGAAUACGGAUCGGCUAACUCCGUGCCAGCAGCCGCGGUAAUACGGAGGAUCCGAGCGUUAUCCGGAUUUAUUGGGUUUAAAGGGAGCGUAGAUGGGUUGUUAAGUCAGUUGUGAAAGUUUGCGGCUCAACCGUAAAAUUGCAAUUGAUACUGGCAGCCUUGAGUACAGUUGAGGUAGGCGGAAUUCGUGGUGUAGCGGUGAAAUGCUUAGAUAUCACGAAGAACUCCGAUUGCGAAGGCAGCUUACUAAACUGCCACUGACAUUGAUGCUCGAAAGUGUGGGUAUCAAACAGGAUUAGAUACCCCUGUAGUC
rnacentral:rRNA from 1 species